AUUGAACGCUGGCGGAAUGCUUUACACAUGCAAGUCGAACGGCAGCACGGGGCAACCUGGUGGCGAGUGGCGAACGGGUGAGUAAUACAUCGGAACGUGCCCAAUCGUGGGGGAUAACGUAGCGAAAGUUACGCUAAUACCGCAUACGAUCUACGGAUGAAAGCGGGGGAUCGCAAGACCUCGCGCGAAUGGAGCGGCCGAUGUCAGAUUAGGUAGUUGGUGGGGUAAAGGCUCACCAAGCCAACGAUCUGUUGCUGGUCUGAGAGGACGACCAGCCACACUGGGACUGAGACACGGCCCAGACUCCUACGGGAGGCAGCAGUGGGGAAUUUUGGACAAUGGGCGCAAGCCUGAUCCAGCCAUUCCGCGUGCAGGAUGAAGGCCUUCGGGUUGUAAACUGCUUUUGUACGGAACGAAACGGUUCUCUCUAAUACAGGGGGCUAAUGACGGUACCGUAAGAAUAAGCACCGGCUAACUACGUGCCAGCCGCCGCAGUAAAAC
rnacentral:rRNA from 1 species